AAUGAACGCUGGCGGCAUGCCUAACACAUGCAAGUCGAACGAUGCCUCCGGGCAUGGUGGCGCACGGGUGCGUAACGCGGGGGAAUCUGCCCUUGGGUUGGGAAUAACUCCCCGAAAGGCGAGCUAAUACCGGAGGAUGACUUAAUUCCAAAGAUUUAUCGCCCAAGGAUGAGCCCGCGUAGGAUUAGCUAGUUGGUGGGGUAAAGGCCCACCAAGGCGACGAUCCUUAGCUGGUCUGAGAGGAUGAUCAGCCACACUGGGACUGAGACACGGCCCAGACUCCUACGGGAGGCAGCAGUGGGGAAUAUUGGACAAUGGGCGAAAGCCUGAUCCAGCAAUGCCGCGUGAGUGAUGAAGGCCUUAGGGUUGUAAAGCUCUUUUACCCGGGAUGAUAAUGACAGUACCGGGAGAAUAAGCUCCGGCUAACUCCGUG
rnacentral:rRNA from 1 species